UCGGCUCUUGCAUCGAUGAAGAACGUAGCGAAAUGCGAUACUUGGUGUGAAUUGCAGAAUCCCGUGAACCAUCGAGUCUUUGAACGCAAGUUGCGCCCGAAGCCGUUAGGCUGAGGGCACGCCUGCCUGGGUGUCACC
rnacentral:rRNA from 1 species